rnacentral:tRNA from 1 species
CGUGGUGUGGCUGAAUGGCUAAGGCAGAGGCUUGCAACACCUUUUUUUGUGGGUUCAAUUCCCACCGCCACGUCCA